CGCACAUUGCGCCUUUUGGUAUUCCGAGAGGCAUGCCUGUUCGAGCGUCAUUUGUACCCUCAAGCUCUGCUUGGUAUUGGCGGCCGCCCCGGUUGGGGUGCCCCCGAAACGCAGCGGCGACGUAGCCGGACCCCCUGGCGUAGUGACACUUGCUGUCGCCCCGGGGCCAUCGGUCGUGCGUCAGCCGGACAACGCCCAAUUUUCUGAAAAUCGACCUCGGAUCAGGUAGGACUACCCGCUGAACUUAA
rnacentral:misc_RNA from 1 species